AUAAACGCUAGCGGCAGGCCUAACACAUGCAAGUCGAGGGGCAGCGUAACGGGUAGCAAUACCUGUUGACGGCGACCGGCGCACGGGUGCGUAACGCGUAUGUAACCUACCGUUCACAGGGGGAUAGUCAGAGGAAACUUUGAAUAAUACCGCAUAAAACAGGGGUCCGGCAUCGGAAUAUUUGUUAAAGGUGGCGACACGGUGAACGAUGGGCAUGCGUUCGAUUAGAUAGUUGGAGAGGUAACGGCUCACCAAGUCUACGAUCGAUAGGGGGUCUGAGAGGAUUAUCCCCCACACUGGUACUGAGAUACGGACCAGACUCCUACGGGAGGCAGCAGUGAGGAAUAUUGGGCAAUGGGCGAAAGCCUGACCCAGCCAUGCCGCGUGCAGGAAGACGGCCCUAUGGGUUGUAAACUGCUUUUACUCGGGAAGAAUAAGGGUUACGUGUAACCCGAUAACGGUACCGAAAGAAUAAGCAUCGGCUAACUCCGUGCCAGCAGCCGCGGUAAUACGGAGGAUGCGAGCGUUAUCCGGAAUUAUUGGGUUUAAAGGGUCCGCAGGCGGACAGGUAAGUCAGUAGUGAAAAACCGGGGCUUAACCCCGGUCGUGCUACAGAAACUGCCUGACUAGAGAAAGUUUGGCGUUGGCGGAAUGUGACAAGUAGCGGUGAAAUGCAUAGAUAUGUCACAGAACACCGAUAGCGAAAGCAGCUGACGAAGACUAUUCUGACGCUCAGGGACGAAAGCGUGGGGAGCAAACAGGAUUAGAUACCCUGGUAGUCCACGCAGUAAACGAUGGGUACCAUCUUUUUGUCCGCAAGGAUGAGAGGAUCAUCGAAAGAGAUAAGUACCCCACCUGGGGAGUACGUGCGCAAGCAUGAAACUCAAAGGAAUUGACGGGGGCCCGCACAAGCGGUGGAGCAUGUGGUUUAAUUCGAAGCAACGCGAAGAACCUUACCAGGCCUUGACAUCCCUUGCAGAGGUAUAGAGAUAUAUCCGAGGUUAUCAAGGAGACAGGUGGUGCAUGGUUGUCGUCAGCUCGUGCCGUGAGGUGUUAGGUUAAGUCCUGCAACGAGCGCAACCCCCAUGAUCCGUUACUAACAGGUGAUGCUGAGGACUCAGAUCAGACUGCCGGCGUAAGCCGCGAGGAAGGAGGGGAUGACGUCAAAUCAUCACGGCCCUUACAUCCCGGGCCACACACGUGCUACAAUGGCCGGUACAGAGAGCAGCCACUUCGCGAGGAGGAGCGAAUCUUAAAAGCCGGUCUCAGUUCGGAUCGCAGUCUGCAACUCGACUGCGUGAAGCUGGAAUCGCUAGUAAUCGCGCAUCAGCCAUGGCGCGGUGAAUACGUUCCCGGGCCUUGUACACACCGCCCGUCAAGCCAUGGAAGUCUGGGGGACCUGAAGACGGUAACCGCGAGGAGCCGUUAAGGGUAAAACAGGUAACUAGGGCU
rnacentral:rRNA from 1 species